rnacentral:lncRNA from 10 species
CUGGUACUGCUCCAGCUCCUGCACCAGCACCUGGGCCCUUCUCCAACACAGACCCGAACCAGGAAGAUCCGGAUAAAGACACUGUCUGCACUCUACUCAGAUGCCCUUUGAGUCUAUGCGCUGUUUCUGGGCUCAUCCUCCAGCCUCAACGUGUUUGCUGCCACACAGCAUGUCCUGUGGGACUGGAGAAAUAUGGAGAAUGCAGCACACUUGCUUCCUACUGAAGAUUAAAAUCAAAUUGUUUUGGGACAGCAGAGGAUGAAGAAACUCAUUUUGACUGAAGUUAUUGGAUGAGACAUGGCUGUGGACAACUUCAGAGAAGAUAUAUUUAAGCAGAACCUUAAACUUAUGUCAGAAUUUUUAAUCACCAGAGAUCAGCAAAGCCAAAGGCAUAUAGACUAUUUCUCAGAUGCACUUGUCAAGAUGAGAGAAUGUGGGCAGAGGAAAUCCCUGAAAAACCAGAUGGCAGAAGUUACUCAGAAGAAAUGAAAGGAUUUUCCAUUAUUCAAAUAGGAGGUGGAAGAGGAAGUGUGGGAGUAAUUACUGGAUUAAGAUCACUGAAAGACAAGAUUGUCUUUAAGGAAACAGAAGACUGAGAAGAAAAGAAGCUUGCUCAAGGUCACAUAGAGCUGGAAUUUAAAUUCAGAUCUAUUAUACUCUUAAGGACUGUGGAAGGAGCAAAAUCUGAUCCAGAGACUGUGGAUGCUGGAGGAGCGUCAAGGCUGGGAAAGUAACAUGCACUGUGUUCGCAAUCAACAGAAAAGAUAUUUUUAAACAAAAACAAUUUUCCAAGUUUCCAGGAAGAGAAACAAAAGGCUUUUCUAAAAUGAAAGAAACUGUUCUUCUCAUUCUGUGACUUUUAUGUCACUUGGACAACAAGCCAGUGCUUAGGAACGGUUAUUUUCCUGUCGACAUCGCUGCAUGGAUACUUCUUAGAAGAACAUAACAGCAUUAGCACUCAGUCCCAGGUUCUGCUCACCCUCCAAUGGCAGUCGUCUUCAAAAACAAUAAAGAUAUCUGUGCUUGGUCUCUCUGUCUUGAUUACACUGCAGGCACAACCUGUGUGGGGAAACAAUAUCCUGGAUCAUACUGAAGGUUCGCACAGAUGGAACAUUAGUGGGAGGGGUUGCCAGCUACUUCCCUGCCAACUUGUUAGUGCUGGAGACAUUAUCCUCUUAUUUUGCCAGUUUAACAGAAGAUCAGUCGUAAAGAUUCACUGUAGGCUCAGCAACAUAAUUAUUAUCUAUGGUCUCUGCAUUAACUGUGAGAAAACAUCAUAGUCUGAAUCUGCCUAAUUUCAAAUGCCAAGCUGUGCCCACAUUCAGCCCACAACUGAACCUGAAUACUCAAUAUAUCCUUAGCAUUGCUACUGUUGUCAUCAUGGUGGAUGUUAAGUACAGGUUUGCCCAAGCUAUGAUGUUUAAUUGUUGCCUUACUGCUUCUGUAUUUCUUCUGUUUCCCUGACCCUUUUCAACACCAGCCCCAUGCAAUUUAAAACUAUUAAAAAGGUAAAAAUCGGUGUCACAUUUAGUUCUGCUACUCAGUACAGAAGUGCCAAGCCCCUGCAAAUCUGGAAAACAAACUCCUUAACAGAUGGGCCACAUAAAGUUUACAACAUGUGCAAUGUGGGAGGUAGUAUGGCUCUGGGCAAGAAACAGAAGACUGGAAGUUUGGGAGCUCAGGGUUUUUGAAUUUGCUUUUGCUUUUUG